rnacentral:rRNA from 1 species
UAUCUCUGUAGAGUCUGCAUAUCAAUAAGCGGAGGAAAAGAAACUAACUAGGAUUCCCUCAGUAACGGCGAGUGAAGCGGGAAGAGCUCAAAUUUGAAAUCUUCAAGGUUCUACCUUGACGAAUUGUAGUUUAAAGAAGUGUUUUCUGUUGGAGUUUUGGUAAAAGUUCUUUGGAAUAGGACAUCAUAGAGGGUGAGAAUCCCGUAUUUGGUUAUUCAUUCUAGCUUUGUGAUACACUCUCAAAGAGUCAGGAUUGUUUGGGAAUGCAGUCCAAAAUGGGUGGUAAAUUUCAUCUAAAGCUAAAUAUUGGCGAGAGACCGAUAGCGAACAAGUACCGUGAGGGAAAGAUGAAAAGAACUUUGAAAAGAGAGUUAAACAGUACGUGAAAUUGUCAAAAGGGAAGCGUUUGACACCAGUGUUGUUUUUCCGAAAAUCAAUUACGAAUGGCUUGAUUUUGUGUUGUAUUGACCUUAUCAGCUUUCUGCACUUUUUUCGAGUCUUUCUUAAUGCACUUUUCGGUUAACAAGUCAACAUCAAUUUCUUUUGUUGUAAAAGAGUAUUCGGAAGGUGGCUUUCUUUUCGGAGAAAGUGUUUAUAGCCCUAUACUUCUACAAUCGGAGAGAUUGAGGUCUGCAGCGUAGAUCCUUCGGGGUUAGAUACACUUGUGCUAAGUUGUAGCUUUUCAUAGACAACUUGUUGACUAUGUUUAGUCAUGCGGCUUACUCGCUUGUGCUAUUUUACCUACGCUUAGGAUGUUGAACUACUGAGACAUAG